rnacentral:rRNA from 1 species
CUACGUAGCUCAGAGUUUGAUCCUGGCUCAGGAUGAACGCUGGCGGCGUGCCUAACACAUGCAAGUCGAACGAAGCACUUGCGACGGAUUCCUUCGGGAUGAAGAUGCUUGUGACUUAGUGGCGGACGGGUGAGUAACGCGUGGGUAACCUGCCCUGUACUGGGGGACAACAGUUGGAAACGACUGCUAAUACCGCAUAAGCGCACAGUGUCGCAUGACACCGUGUGAAAAACUCCGGUGGUACAGGAUGGACCCGCGUCUGAUUAGCUAGUUGGUGAGGUAACGGCCCACCAAGGCGACGAUCAGUAGCCGGCUCGAGAGAGUGAACGGCCACAUUGGGACUGAGACACGGCCCAA